rnacentral:lncRNA from 1 species
ACUAAUAUCUUUUUCUACUCAAUUUUCUGUGCACUCACAGAAGGCAGAAACUGUACCUUUCAUUUCCAUGAUUCUCAUGGAUAAAGCCCUCAAUAAAUGUUUGCCAGAUGAAUGACUUGCCCAAGGUCACACUGCUAAUAUAUGGCAGAACCGGGACCAGAACCAAGACCUCCGACUCCCCAGAUCCCAUAUCCUUGCUGUUCUCCUGGGAUGUUUUCUGGAAGAAAAUGAGCUGUGGGCCUAAAAAGAAGCCAAUCAAGCAUUUGGCAGGACAUUGGCUUUUUCCUUCAGCUGGCUCCCUUUGUGGUAAUACGACGUCUGCACCAAACACAAUAACACGCAGAAAAAGAAAGCUUUCGUGUUUUUUCAGAAGCAUGGAAGCUUUUACCAGCAGUCUCCUGUAGAAUCUUCUUUUUGUACCAUUAGCCAGAAUUGGAUACAUGCCCAUUCUUUAGCUAGUCCCUCCCAAGGGGAAUGGAAUUACCAUGGUUGAUGUGAAGGGAAGCUAAAGAGUCAACCUCAAAGAACACUUCAAAAUACUUCCAUCUCCCAAAUACAGCCUUGCUCACUGCUCAGAUUGGAAAUAUACCAUUAGCUGUCCUGGGCCUCGAGUUUGCCAACCUCAGAUCUUGGGACUUCUCUACCUCCAUAAUCAUGUAAGUCAAUUCCUUAUAAUAAACUUCAUAUCUAUCUAUCUACCUAUCUACACAUAUAGAAAGGUGGGAAGAUGAUAGAUAAAUGAUAGAUAGAUAGAUAGAUAGAUAGAUAGAUAGAUAGAUAGGCUAUAUAUCUUAUUGGUACCGUUUCUCUGCAGAGCCCUGACUAAUAUGACACUUAGCUAGUUAAGUGGCAUAGCUAGGAACAUUCUUGUAAAAGUCUUUUUGUGGACACAUGUUUUUCCUUUUUCAUUAUUAUUUUUUGAGACAGGGUCUCGCUUUGUCACCCAGGCUGGAGCUCAGUGGCAUGAUCACGGCUUACUGCAGCCUCGACUUCCUGGGCUCUGGCAAUCCUCCCACCUCAGCCUCCUGAGUAGCUGGGACUACAGGUACAUGCCACCACACCCAGCUA